AUGCCUGAGAAAAUCCAGACCUAAGACCAACCAAUGGAGGAGGAGGAGGUUGAGACUUUUGCCUUUCAGGCAGACAUUGCCCAGUUGAUGUCAUUGAUCAUCAAUACUUUCUACUCCAACAAAGAGAUCUUUCUGAGAGAGCUCAUUUCAAACUCAUCAGAUGCUUUGAAAAAAAUCAGAUAUGAAAGUUUGACAGAUCCCAGUAAACCAGACUCUGGGAAAGAGCUGCACAUUAAUCUCAUACCAAACAAAUAAGAUUGAACCCUUACUAUUGUGGAUACUGGCAUUGGAAUGACCAAGGCUGACUUGAUCAAUAACCUAGGUACUAUUGCCAAGUCUGGAACCAAAGCAUUCAUGGAAGCUCUGCAGGCUGGUGCAGAUAUAUCUAUGAUUGGCCAGUUUGGUGUUGGUUUUUAUUCUGCAUAUUUCGUUGCUGAGAAAGUAACUAUGAUCACCAAACAUAACAUGAUGAGCAGUAUGCCUGGGAGUCCUCUGCAGGAGGAUCAUUCACAGUUAGGACUGACACUAGUGAACCUAUGGGUCAUGGAACAAAGGUUAUUCUCCAUCUAAAAGAAGACCAAAUGAGUACUUGGAGGAAAGAAGGAUAAAAGAGAUUGUGAAGAAACAUUCUCAGUUCAUUGGCUAUCCCAUUAUUCUCUUUGAGGAGAAGGAACGUGAUAAAGAAGUCAGCGAUGAUGAGGUGGAAGAAAGGGAAGAUAAGGAGAAGGAGAAAGAAGAAAAGGGGUCUGAUGACAAACCUGAAAUAGAAGAUGUUGGUUCUGAUGAAGAAGAAAAGGAGAAGAAAGAUGGUGACAAGAAGAAGAAGAAGAUUAAGGAAAAGUACAUUGAUCAUGAAGAGCUCAAGAAAACAAAGCCUAUUUGGACCAGAAAUCCUGAUGAUAUAACUAAUGAGGAGUAUGGAGAAUUCUAUAAGAGCUUGACCAAUGACUGGGAAGAUCACUUGGCAGUGAAGCACUUUUCAGUUGAAGGACAGUUGGAAUUCAGAGCUCUGCUUUUUGUCCCAAGACGUGCUCCUUUUGACCAAUUUGAAAACAGAAAGAAAAAGAACAACAUUAAGUUGUAUGUCCACAGAGUUUUUAUCAUGGAUAACUGUGAGGAGCUAAUCCCUGAAUAUUUGAAUUUCAUUAGAGGAGUGGUGGACUCUGAGGAUCUCCCUCUGAAUAUUUCCUGUGAGAUGUUGCAGCAAAGCAAAAUUUUGAAAGUUAUCAGAAAGAAUUUGGUCAAAAAGUGUUUAAAGCUCUUUACUGAACUGGCAGAAGAUAAGGAGAACUACAAAAAGUUUUAUGAGCAGUUCUCUAAAAACAUAAGGCUUGGAAUACAUGAAGAUUCUCAAAAUCGAAGAAGCUUUCAGAGCUAUUGCAAUACUACACUUCUGCUUCAGGUGAUGAGAUGGUUUCUCUCAAGGACUACUGCACAAGAAUGAAGGAAAACCAGAAACAU